rnacentral:rRNA from 1 species
UUCUCACCGUAAAUGAUGCCAACUGCCAAUCCGCUGGUGGAUUUAAUUCACGAGCGGGCGGGUUUCCGGAAACGAAAGUCUUUCGGUUCCGGGGGAAGUAUGGUUGCAAAGCUGGAACUUAAAGGAAUUGACGGAAGGGCACCACCAGGAGUGGAGCUUGCGGCUUAAUUUGACUCAACACGGGAAACCUCACCCGGCCAGCACAUCGUAAGGAUUGACAGACCGAUAGCUCUUUCAUGAUUCGUUGGAUGGUGGUGCAUGGCCGUUCUUAGUUCGUGCUAAUUGAAGUGUCUGCUUUAUUGCGAUAACGAGCGAGACGCCAACUGUUAACUAGUGCGUUGAUUGGUUCGCUUGUCAACGAUCGACUUCUUAACGGGAUUUGUGGUUACUAGCCUCAAGAAAUGGCGCAAUAACAGGUCUGUGAUGCCCUUAGAUGUUCGGGGCCGCACGCGUGCUACAAUGGUGGUAUCAGCGUGCUUGUCCUACUCCGAAAGGAGAUGGCAAACAGUUGAGAUAUUAUUAUGGCUGGAAUUGAGUGUUGAAAUUUUCACUCAUGAACGAGGGAAUUCCAAGUUAAAUGCGAGG